rnacentral:lncRNA from 1 species
CUGCAGCAAUGGGUCAAGUUGCACAGAGAGGGGUUCUUCCCAGGGAAACUCAGAUUUCUCCUCCAGGAGCCGUCUGAAGAAGCCAGACUGAUUAAGGACGACCCUUGUUCUGCAGAACAAGUCUACUCCUAUGAUACAACUGCUCAACUGCAGGCAUCAUCAGUUGAUGCUCCAGCCUAACCAGGUGUGAAGAGUUUAGC